AUCUUUUAAAACAAUGCAAGUAUAACUACACCUACAGUAAUGAAUGUAACUUCAAAAUCAAAGGGAGAACAGGGUAUCACAACUGAUUUUUUUAUUGUCUUGAACCAUAACACACAGAGAUACAUCUAUAAACAAUGAUCAAAAGAAACUGUACAUUUAUACUUGAUAUCUAAGUCCCACAAAAAUAAUGCGACUGCUGGUCAGAACGCUUUACAACUAAAGAGAUUUUACAUGUAAUGACUCAUUCGAAUUGAAUUUUCCAUUUUAAUAAUGCGUUUGGAUAUUAAAGAAUCGCUGGCUUUGCAGAGAUAUUCAUCCCACGUCUGCCAUCGGUGCCAUAACACAAACUGGACUCCGAGCCCCAAAAAUCUUUUUCACAGCAGUUUUACAAAUUUAUUGCGGUACUAUCACAGAAGAGACAAAAUCAAUACACACGAAGCACAGGCCUGACAUGAACUCCAGUACUAGAGAAACUGUUUAUUUAGCAGAAAUGAUUAUGGAGAACUGCAGUUAACAUAUGGAACACAGCUUACAAACGUUCUACAAGUAAUCUUUCGCCUUAUAAACAAUGAGUUAUUUGCCCACCCCUCCCUCCCCAAACACACAUUACAGGUUACACACACACACACACACACACACACACACACAUACACACACAAAAAAAAUCCCUCAUAGAGCCAAUGGAAUGUUAGUCAUUCGGACAAGCUCGGUAAGAUGUCCAGCUGUCUGUGUAAACGACAUGCCUGCAACCUUCCCCUCUACCUCGCACUUUGAAAGCGAGAGCAGAGAGGGGGGGAAAAAAAACGCCUGUCGACAUUUACGAUGACGGUAGUUUUUUCUGCCCAAUGUAAAAAUGCUGGAUAUGAUGAAAUCACUUUCAAAAUGUUUCUUUUCUUCCAUAAAAAAUGUGUCUCUACAAUCAAACUACUAAAAAACCUGCCUUUAGAAAAUAGUAGAUAAAAAUAUUCCCCUGAAUUGUACAAGAAAAGAGGUACAGGGAGUGCUGGUAAAAGAUGAGACCCCGGCAAAGUUAUUCCCCGUCUUCUCCCUUCUUGUCGGUGUCUUCUGUUGCCGAUGCCUGAAAAACAGCAUUGGCGGUACAUUACAUGAAAACACCAAAAAUCAUUAUACAUUUACAUUUAGCAGACGCUUUUAUCCAAAGCAUUUUAGUUUAUUUAUUUAGUUACUUUUUAGGUUUUAUAUGGAAGAUUUGCCAGUAUAUGACUAUGUUACCUCUUCGUCAGCUUUUGUUUCUCCGUUUUCUGCGGGCACCUCCUCUUUCUUCUCCUCCUCCUUGGGCUCCUUGGGUUCCUUUGUUUUCUUAGGCAUGGUUGUGGGUUUGUACAACACGCAAAAACCAAAGCGGUUAAAAAUGCAAGAUGCACGGAUUUAACGCUAAAAAACAGUCGACACUGUGUGUUGAGCUCGGUUAAAGAUUCACACAGUAAGCUUGAGCACAGUAUAGGAACACGUUAACGCUCGUCCGAAACAAAAACCUGCUCAAACCGGAUUGGAUUCUCCUCCUCCUCCUUCUUCUUCCCUAUUCAAUUCAUCACUGGCCGACCUGACAGCGAAUUUUCGAUUCCCACUAUGGCGAAGCCCCAUCUUAUGAAUAUUAAUGACACAUUGAUGACGCGACCUGGCAACCUUCCGUGAGCG
ensembl:lncRNA